rnacentral:rRNA from 1 species
AACGAACGCUGGCGGCAUGCCUAACACAUGCAAGUCGAACGAGACCUUCGGGUCUAGUGGCGCACGGGUGCGUAACGCGUGGGAACCUGCCCUUAGGUUCGGAAUAACUCCCCGAAAGGGGUGCUAAUACCGGAUCAUGUCUUCGGACCAAAGAUUUAUCGCCUUUGGAUGGGCCCUCGUUGGAUUAGCUAGUUGGUAGGGUAAAAGCCUACCAAGGCGACGAUCCAUAGCUGGUCUGAGAGGAUGAUCAGCCACACUGGGACUGAGACACGGCCCAGACUCCUACGGGAGGCAGCAGUGGGGAAUAUUGGACAGUGGGCGAAAGCAUGAUCCAGCAAUGCCGCGUGAGUGAUGAAGGCCUUAGGGUUGUAAAGCUCUUUUACCAGGGAUGAUAAUGACAGUACCGGGAGAAUAAGCUCCGGCUAACUACGUG